AGCUCGCGGCCAGGUGAGGCGCCCCGCCCCUCGGCGUCUCCAGGUGCGGCGGUGGGACCUUCGACCGCGGCGGGGCCAGGGCCGGGGCGGAGGCGCCAUGGCCGAGUCCCAGCUGAGCUGCCUGGACGAGGCGCACGUGAACGAGAAGGUGACCGAGGCGCAGGCCGCCUUCUACUACUGCGAGCGGCGGCGGGCCGCGCUGGAGGCGCUGCUGGGCGGCGGCGAGCAGGCCUACCGCGAGCGGGUCAAGAAGGAGCAGCUGCGGGACUUCCUCUCCAGCCCGGAGCGCCGGGCCCUGUGCGCCGCCUGGAGCCCGUACGAGGACGCCGCCGACGCCGCCCCCGCCACCAGCGCCCGGGGCAAGAGCAAGGCCAAGGCCAAGGCCAAGGCCCCCGCGCCGGAGCCGGCCGAGCCCGGCGAGUCCCUGGCCUACUGGCCCGAUCGGUCUGACACCGAGGUGCCCCCGCUGGACCUGGGCUGGACGGACACUGGUUUCUACCGCGGCGUGAGCCGGGUCACCCUCUUCACCCACCCCCCCAAGGACGAGAAGGCGCCGCACCUCAAGCAGGUGGUCAGGCAGAUGAUCCAACAGGCCCAGAAGGUCAUUGCUGUGGUCAUGGACCUCUUCACGGAUGGUGAUAUCUUCCAAGACAUUGUGGAUGUUGCCUGUAAGCGCCGGGUCCCAGUGUACGUCAUCCUGGACGAGGCGGGAGUGAAGUAUUUCCUGGAGAUGUGUCAGGGCCUGCAGCUCACCGACUUCCGGAUUCGGAACAUCCGUGUCCGCUCCGUGACAGGCGUCGGCUUCUACAUGCCCAUGGGGAGGAUCAAGGGAACCCUGUCAUCAAGGUUCCUGAUGGUGGAUGGUGACAAAGUGGCCACUGGAUCUUACAGGUUCACCUGGAGUUCCUCCUACGUGGACAGGAACCUCCUCCUCCUCCUGAUGGGGCAGAACGUGGAGCCCUUUGACACAGAGUUCCGGGAGCUGUAUGCCAUCUCCGACGAGGUGGACUUGCACCGGCAGCUAGGCCUGGGAGGCCACCACUACUCCUCCACCGUGGCUCGCAAGCUCAUCAACCCCAAGUAUGCCUUGGUGGCAGGCAGCCGCCACCCGCCUGGGGAGAUGAUGCGCUGGGCCGCCCGGCAGCAGCGGGAGGCCGGUGGCAACCCGGAGGGGCAGGAGGAGGGCAGCGGCAGCGAAUCAGCCCGGCGCCUGGAGAGCUUCCUGAGAGACCUGGCCACGGUGGAGCAGGUGCUGCCCCCUGUGGAGCCCAUCCCCUCGGGGGUGCUGAGCCGGAAGGAUGGCAGGAUGGUCUCUCGCAUACACAUAGACCUAAAGCCCACAUCCCGAGAGGCGCCCAGCCGAAAUGGCACAGGAGAAGCGGCCCGGGCAGAGGCCGCCCCUGCCAGGGAGCGCAGGCGCCUCAGCAGCAAGUUGCUGGGCCGCUGGUCCAAGAGGCCCACGGUGCCCAAUGGCGUGGCCAGCUCCCCCUCCACCGAGACAUUCUCCGAAGUAGAGUUUCUGAUGGGGAAGAAGCCCAAUGAGGACUCCAGUGCCGAGGUCUCAGGUAAAACAAGUCCCAGUUCUGCCAAGCCCAACAAGUGCGUGAUUUCCUGAGCUGCGGGAUGGGGGUGGGCAGGACGUGUGGAUGCCCGCCUGCCCUGCCCUGUGCUGUGGAGAGCGCGGGUCACACACUGCACCAGUUUGCACAUCAGACUCCAACUGGCCUCCUGCCCUGCAGCCUCCGUCCUGGCCUCAGGGAGCCUGGAUCCCACGUGAGAGGGUCCGAAGCAUCUCAGUCACACACCAGACUGUCGGUGGCUGGGCGGGGGUGUCAGGUGCAGCCAGCACCGCAGGGACUCUGAACUGAACGAGGGGAAGCGUGGCCAACCCCAGGCAGCGGCAGAAUUUGGUGCUGCUGAGCUCUCUCUCCCUGCCCGGUGCGGUCCUGGCGGUCUCAGCGUGAGUGGUCCAGACCUCGGCUGCUGCCUGCUGUGGGCCUCUAGGGGGGUCCUUACAGUGCCUUGACCUGCUCCUUCCCUCAGUAAGCUUUGGUUUACAGCCCACAGCAGGGAGGGGACCUGGCCAAGAGGGAGUUUGGGGGUGUAGGAGGCUGGGCCCUGAGGAUAGGAGCAUUUGUCUUUUCUCUCCCAACCCUAACAGGGUUCUCGGACCCCUUCACCAACCAGGGCCUCCCAGGUUACACUUCAGCCAAAGACUGGCCUUCGCCUCCCGCGAGAGUCAGGCUGUUUUUAGAGGCCUGUGCCUCACCAGAGCAAGUCAGCCUAAUUGCCAUGGUGCUGGGCAGUUCCACCCUGCCCUCCCCACUUCGGUGACUAGAGAGGGCCGAGGAGAGUGUGUGGAUGGACCUGGGAGAAAUUGCCAAACUGCAGACUCUGUGAGCUGGCCCUGCAGGCAGGGCGAUGGGGGAGCCGAGCCCUGUGAAAAAGCCAGGCAGCAGCCUUUCUUGUCCUCUGACCUCUGAAGCAAACUCUCAGCCUCUUUCUCCCCUUCUAAAACACCCCAGGACACUACCAGCAUCGGGGGGAGGGGUAGCGAUGUCUGCAAGGCAGCUGAUGGGAGAGCAGGGGAAGGGGCCGCUCUGGCUGGGCUGCAGGAGCCAGGCACUGCUGGGGAAGCACGAAGUGGGGACCACAGGUGGUGGCCAUUGAGGAAACACAGUCUGUCUGGCAGUGGUGAGGAAAAAGGAAGUGUGAGCCUGUCCCCAGGGUCUCCUCUGUCAGUCCCUAGGCUGGCUUCUAGGGUGUGUAGAGAAGGGACUCUGGCCCACCUCCUUGAGCUUUAACGCUUCUGGGAAGUGCUUCCUUAGGCAGGAAGGCCAGGAAGUUGGCCCGAGUUCGUUCUGGAGGGGAGGGAAGGGAGAGAGGGGGGAGGUGGGGGAUGGCGCUGUUACACCUCAGCUUGGAGCAGAAACCUUGAAGGUACAGGAUACGAAAUGUGUAAAUUGCGAGGGGGCAGGGAGAUGACCCUCUGGUGUGGAGGGUGGGCGCCUCAGGAUGAGGAAGGCAGCCUGGGGAAGGGACUGGCCUCCAGGCAAAUCAGUCUGGGGCAUCUUACGCCUCCCCUACCAGAAGAGCAGGCUCUGUUUUGACCUUUUACCCGCUCUAGACCCAAAGCACACCCAGGUCCCACGCCUGCCCUGACAUCUAAUCUGGGAGGAUACCUGAUUGGAAUCUCCAAGUCACCACAGCCUUGAGCCAGGCCUGCCUUUCUGCGUCAGUUUCUCUGUGUGCCAAUAUGGGGUUUUUUUCACACUUCCUUGGUAGAGAUGAUGGGAGACCAUAUGUUGGGGAGGAAGCAAGUUAGCCUAUCGGGAAGAGGGCCGGCCAUCGGGUAGGACUGCCCAGGCAGGGCACCUCUGCCCACCAGCCUGUGUCCUCAUCCUUAUAGCAGUGUGGGCAAGAUGGUGUCUGGCCCCACCCGCUCCAAAAGGCUUGAGAACGAAACUGUAGUCCAGAGAUUGCAAGGAUCUUGAACUCACAAAAUGCUGCUCUUCAUGUUUGCCUGUCUGCCCAGGCACCGGCCCACUCUGUUCUGCCUCUUGGCUUCUCAGCUUUGAGUAUGCCUGCCCUCUGUUCCAGCACGCGCACAUACUUCGUGAAGCUGUCUCUUACUCAUCAGAUCUCAAGGGUACAUCUGGCCCUCCCAGUUGGAUGGCAAGUUUAAGGGUGGAUCAUGCCCUUGCUCCCUGCACAGCAGCUUCCACAAGGCUGGUUACGUUGGAAGGGCUGUAGGAGGAACAGGAUAUGGCAGCAGUCUCAGCGCUGGGGUCUGGCUUUGCUGCCCUCCACCCCACACCACCACCAAGCUGCUAUCUCACUUUCUGAAUCAGCUUCUGUAGGGGGCAGGAGGCUUGCUGCAGAACAGGCGUCCCCGCUCAGCGAGCAGAGCCAAACCAAGGUGAGCGAGGAGAAGGGCAAGAAGGGCAGGCGCAGUCAUGGACAUGUUCUGGGGCGAAGAACCGUGCAAUCAGCCCACAGGCCUCACACUGUUAGGCAGGCCUGGACUUCUCGCUCUUCCCCUUGCAGCUUCUGCCCUCCCAGCCAGGGACUGAGGAAUGCCCUGCUCCUAGAUGCCAUGUGCUGCUGCCUGGCACAAUAGGUACCCAUCUGUCCUUGGGGUUCCUGAGCCUGGGGAGCGGGCUCUGUGAGCACGGGUGCCUCACCUGCCUGGCUUACCUUUGCAACCACAAUAUGUGCUUAAUACCUAUUUGUUAAGUGAUUGAAGACUUGACGGCCAUUCAGCACAGGGAAUUAGCCAGGUGAAUAAACAGAUGUCACAGAGGUUCCAGAAUCAAUCAUGUGUCUCAUUCCUGACUUCUAAUCCCAUAUAAGCCAAAUGGGGUUCUGCUGUGAUUUAAUGUCUUAAGGACUGGGUUUAUCAAAGUCCCUCCUGAUCUAAGCCUUUCCUCUAGGAAGGCUUCUCCUUUCCUCAUCUGUCCUGAGUGCAUGGCCUUUAUCUCCCGGGUGGGCCAGACUAGGUGGCACUGGGCCUCCAGGCCUCUGGCUGCUCAAAGGUGGCCCUCUCUGCCUGCUUCCUUUCAAAAGCUAGCACAGAAAGGAGGGCCCUAGAUGAGGAAAUUUGUCCAAAGUCACCCAGUGAGUCACAGGAAGGGCUAGAAUCUGGUUAUCUGGACCGUUCUAGAGCACUUUCACAGUGGCGGCCUGCUGCAAACAAGUUUUCAUCUAGAAAAAUGUCUAAAGUGGCCAGGCAAGGUGGUUCACACCUGUAUUCCCAGCACUU